UGGAAACCCAUUCAACCUCUGCAUAGCAUACACACAGGAUCACAAUUCUUUCUGGUGAGUACACCAUAAAACAAAGCGUCAAGUUAACAAUAUGAACAAACAGUAAUGAGCACAAAGCUCGACCAAGGAAAAUAAAUCCAAAUCAGAAAAUUGAUGGAAGCAGCUAACCAUCAAAGGCUCGUGAUCAUAAUAACAAGGACCAUGAAAUGUAAAUGUAUUAUUGACUUUAAUCCUGCUCAAGGAUUGUUUAUCACCAAAAAUGAUAUCAGUUAGCUACCAACUUCCUCAACAUUUUUAUCACUUCUCUUCUUCCUGCUUCUCGAUAAAUGUCUUCCUCAAAAAAUCCCAUGGCUGAAUCACCCAGAGGGCGCCAGUAACGGCGGCGACACCCCACCCUGCGGCGGCCUGUAUAUCGGUGGAUUGGGGACGGCGUUUGGGGCUGAGGAACUUGAAGAGUCCGUUACCUGCUGCAGUAGUCAUCUUCGGCGUCGGAAGCCCUAGACUCUGUUUUUG
rnacentral:misc_RNA from 1 species